rnacentral:rRNA from 1 species
UACGGAGGGUGCGAGCGUUGUCCGGAAUCACUGGGCGUAAAGGGCGCGUAGGCGGCCUGAUAAGUAGGGGGUGAAAUCCUGCGGCUUAACCGCAGGGCUGCCUUCUAAACUGUCAGGCUUGAGCACAGUAGAGGCAGGUGGAAUUCCCGGUGUAGCGGUGGAAUGCGUAGAGAUCGGGAAGAACAUCAGUGGCGAAGGUGGCCUGCUGGGCUGUUGCUGACGCUGAGGCGCGACAGCGUGGGGAGCAAACAGG